AUGGCAAAUGGACGACGCCGUGGAGGAGAAGGACGCUCAAUCCUCCUCGUUGGAGCUGCACAGGCCGACAUACUUUGCCGCCUGCUCCUCACGGAUGCGGAGCCACUCAUCCUCCUUCUCCUUGGUGGCGAGGUUGGCGGCGACCGCCUCCCACCAUUGGAGGGAUUCGAGCUCUUCGACGUGGCACCGAUGCUCCGCCUCCUCGUGCACGCUCCGCUCGGCGAUGGCGGCCGCAACGGCGUCGACGUAGACUUCUGGCCCGACGACUCUCCGGCGGCCGAGCGGAGCGGGCUCCUCGGGCUCCUCCUUCACAGGGACAAAGGCGAACGUGUCCGGCUCCUCCGACUCCUCCUCAUCUUCCUACUACUCCCUCUUCACGGGGAGAAGGCCCGCGCAGGAGGACGAGGAGCUCCUGGCGUACGAAGACCUUGCGGAGGAGGAGGACGCGCGCCGACGGUCGUACUCCUCGGUCUCGCUCCGCUAGAAGCUCACCGGCGACGACAGGCCGCGGUUGGUCCACUUCCGGGCCCUGCGCUUCCUCACGCCGUCCGACCGGACGCGCCACUCGUGCUCCGGGUCCCUUCCGCCGCCGGAUCUGCUGCCGGAGCCACGUACGGAGCUCCAUAUUCGGCCCCACAAGGCAGCUGGAGGCGGGGCGGGUGGUCACCGACGGCGAGAAAUGUGGAGAGGGGAAAGGGGAAUCGCGUGGCUCGGCGGCGGCGGAGGAUAGGGUUUGAACCCGCAAACGAGUCGCGGAACCGCAGAUAUAGUGGUCGGGGCGUGCGGUUUGCGGACCGGGCGAGUAUGCGGGCUCUGUUCUGGCUGAAAAAUUGGGCCGAGCCUGCAUACUCGCCUGAAUUUUUGCGGGCAGAGCAUGCUCUUGAAAUCGAAACAAACUGGGCCAAGCCCAUCCUCGUUGGUAGCAUACCGUACGCCUCACAAACGUCGAUGGGCAACCACAAAAAACACAACAACCGAAGGCCCCGCUUUGUUGAGCAGAUUUAUGAAAUAGUCACAGAGCAUGCUCUUGAAACCGAAACAAACCGGGCCAAGUCCAUCCUUGUUGGUAGCAUGUCGUACACCUCAACAAACGUCGAUGAGCAACCACACAAAAACGCAACAAACCGAAGGCCCUGCUUUGUUGAGCAGGUAGUAGCUUCCACCAGUGCAGAAGAUCUUCUCCUACAUAAUAUUAUAAUUGUGAUAGACUCGAAGCAAGUUGCAGUUAGGCUCAUCUACUCGGGUGAGACGUUUUGGAGGCCGAGCUACCUGCAGGCCAAAAUCUGUGCCGUGGAGUAUAGCAUUGCGAUGUGUGCUCAUUCGUUAAUACGGUCGUUAUUAAGUUGCAAUACAGCGGUGCCGUGGGCUGCGGUGUUGUCAUUGUACAUGGGCCUCUGCUCAUCUGCGCUAGUGCCCCUGGUUGUUGAAUCUGGGUGGGUGGGGGGUGUCACUGAUGUGGAGUGCGUCGUUGCCUCCAUGCAUGAAGCUCGCGUGAACUGCCCUGUUUUGAUUUCCUCCGAGCCAAUCACAAGGCGUAGAGCAACACCGUUUAGGACAGACACCUUGAGGAGCGACAUGGCUCCUGAAGAUACCAGCGAUGCAGCUGUCAGAGAAGAUGGAGAUGCAGAACAUUGCCCAUUGACAAAACUGGUAAGAAUGUGGAUUUCUCUUAUCGACAAAGAUGAGAAGUGGUCAAAACUGGGCAGUGUUGUUCUAACUCAGAACCUGCCUAUUGAGAUACAUGUAUCAAAAAUUUACACAAGGACUAUGUUUGAAAAUUUUGGUGAGAUGUUGUAUGUAGUCGGAUCGUAUGUUCUGAGUGAAGUUGUACCUCGUCGCGAGUACAUAGCCAGGCAUGUAAAGAAGGAUUCGAAAGAGAAGUGGUGUAAAAAUGAAUUCCUUCUUCAGGUGAACGAUCUUGCUGAUGAGUUCAAGUGUAAUGAUCCAGCUUGGGCUGUAAGAUGUUUUGGCAAAACACGUGCUGGAAUGAUGGACCAGGGAUGCGAGGGAUAUACUCCCACCAGAGCUUCUGCGCUGCUAGAAGAACCAAGCAAUCCGGCGCAGAGUGCGUCACAAAGUUCAGAUAGUUUUGCGACACUGUCGAAGAAGAGGCCAGCAGGGCGGCCUACCCAAGCUGCAACAAAGCACCGUAGGAAUAGCAAGCUAAAAGGACUAGGUUCUGUUCUACAUGCAGGGUUCAAGAUCACAACAGUACUGCAUGUCCGCAGCGGGGUGAUCUUCCAAAGGCGCUUGCUGCUCCAGAUGCAGCUUGAGAGGGCACAGGAAGAACAUAUGCACCAACCCCCCGAAAGCAGACUUGAAUGA
rnacentral:rRNA from 1 species